ACCUAGGAGAGCAAACCCCGAACAAUAAACCCGGGCAGGUGGAGGUCGUUAGCCGUGGUAGGCAAUUCACCUAGGAGAGCAAACUCUAAACAAACCCGGGCAGGUGGAGGUCGUUAGCCGUGGGAGGCAAUUCACCUAGGAGAGCAAACUCUAAACAAACCCGGGCAGGUGGGGCUCGUUAGCCGUGGUAGGCAAUUCACCUAGGAGAGCAAACUCCGAACAACAAACCCGGGCAGGUGGAGGUCGUUAGCCGUGGUUGGCAAUUCACCUAGGAGAGCAAACUCUAAACAAACCCGGGCAGGUGGAGGUCGUUAGCCGUGGUAGGCAGUUCACCUAGGAGAGGAAACUCUAAACAAACCCGGGCAGGUGGGGCUCGUUAGCCGUGGUAGGCAAUUCACCUAGGAGAGCAAACUCCGAACAACAAACCCGGGCAGGUGGAGCUCGUUAGCGUGAGCAUUUUACCUAGGAGAGCAAACUCCGAACAAUAAACCCGGCCAGGUGGAGGUCGUCAGCCGUGGUAGGCAGUUCACCUAGGAGAGCAAACUCCGAACAAUAAACCCGGGCAGGUGGAGGUCGUCAGCCGUGGUAGGCAAUCUGCCUAGGAGAGCAAACUCCGAACAAUAAACCCGGCCAGGUGGUGGUCGUCAGCCGUGGUAGGCAAUCUGCCUAGGAGAGCAAACUCCGAACAAUAAACCCGGCCAGGUGGAGGUCGUCAGUCGUGGUAGGCAAUCUGCCUAGGAGAGCAAACUCCGAACAAUAAACCCGGCCAGGUGGAGGUCGUCAGCCGUGGUAGGCAAUCUGCCUAGGAGAGCACACUCCGAACAAUAAACCCGGGCAGGUGGAGGUCGUCAGCCGUGGUAGGCAAUCUGCCUAGGAGAGCAAACUCUAAACAAACCCGGGUUUGUGGUGCUCGUUAUACUGUCGUAGACAAUCCACGCGAUGGGAACACCAAAGAAAAGGAAAAUAAAAAGGAACACCAGAAAAAUGGAAAAUACAGAAACGAAACAUCAAGAAACAAAAAGAUCAUCCACCUUUAGGCCCUAACAUCGCCAAAAUUAUGGAUGGGUCUCUUCUGGGGAGAAAGCGGCUCAUCCAGACCAAAGAACAUCAACCAAAGGAUGAUAUGAAUAAAUGAAAUAAAAAAACAAAGAAAAA